rnacentral:rRNA from 1 species
GACGGUCUUGCUGUCACUUAUAGAUGGAUCCGCGCUGCAUUAGCUAGUUGGUAAGGUAACGGCUUACCAAGGCAACGAUGCAUAGCCGACCUGAGAGGGUGAUCGGCCACACUGGAACUGAGACACGGUCCAGACUCCUACGGGAGGCAGCAGUAGGGAAUCUUCCGCAAUGGGCGAAAGCCUGACGGAGCAACGCCGCGUGAGUGAUGAAGGUCUUCGGAUCGUAAAACUCUGUUAUUAGGGAAGAACAUAUGUGUAAGUAACUGUGCACAUCUUGACGGUACCUAAUCAGAAAGCCACGGCUAACUACGUGCCAGCAGCCGCGGUAAUACGUAGGUGGCAAGCGUUAUCCGGAAUUAUUGGGCGUAAAGCGCGCGUAGGCGGUUUUUUAAGUCUGAUGUGAAAGCCCACGGCUCAACCGUGGAGGGUCAUUGGAAACUGGAAAACUUGAGUGCAGAAGAGGAAAGUGGAAUUCCAUGUGUAGCGGUGAAAUGCGCAGAGAUAUGGAGGAACACCAGUGGCGAAGGCGACUUUCU